rnacentral:rRNA from 1 species
GUGAGGAAUAUUGGACAAUGGGCGCAAGCCUGAUCCAGCCAUGCCGCGUGCAGGAAGACGCAUCUAUGGUGUGUAAACUGCUUUUGUACGGGAAGAAACACUCCCUCGUGAGGGAGCUUGACGGUACCGUAAGAAUAAGGAUCGGCUAACUCCGUGCCAGCAGCCGCGGUAAUACGGAGGAUCCAAGCGUUAUCCGGAAUCAUUGGGUUUAAAGGGUCCGUAGGCGGUUUAAUAAGUCAGUGGUGAAAGCCCAUCGCUCAACGAUGGAACGGCCAUUGAUACUGUUAGACUUUAAUUACAAGGAAGUAACUAGAAUAUGUAGUGUAGCGGUGAAAGGCUUAGAUAUUACAUGGAAUACCAAUGGCGAAGGCAGGUUACUACUUGUGGAUUGACGCUGAUGGACGAAAGCGUGGGGAGCGAACAGGAUUAGAAACCCUGGUAGUCC